rnacentral:rRNA from 1 species
GACGAACGCUGGCGGCGUGCUUAACACAUGCAAGUCGAACGGAAAGGCCCUGCUUUUGUGGGGUGCUCGAGUGGCGAACGGGUGAGUAACACGUGAGUAACCUGCCCUUGACUUUGGGAUAACUUCAGGAAACUGGGGCUAAUACCGGAUAGGAGCUCCUGCUGCAUGGUGGGGGUUGGAAAGUUUCGGCGGUUGGGGAUGGACUCGCGGCUUAUCAGCUUGUUGGUGGGGUAGUGGCUUACCAAGUCUUUGACGGGUAGCCGGCCUGAGAGGGUGACCGGCCACAUUGGGACUGAGAUACGGCCCAGACUCCUACGGGAGGCAGCAGUGGGGAAUAUUGCACAAUGGGCGGAAGCCUGAUGCAGCAACGCCGCGUGCGGAAUGACGGCCUUCGGGUUGUAAACCGCUUUCGCCUGUGACGAAGCGUGAGUGACGGUAAUGGGUAAAGAAGCACCGGCUAACUACGUG